GUGGGCAGGGCCCAGCCAUAAGCUUCCCAUAUAAGCGGAACCUUGUGCUCCUGCUGUAACCUCCAGCUCCACUUUCUUAUCAUAGAGGUUCCGUGUCCACAAUGAGGCUUCUGCCACCUGCAUCGUCUGGGCCCUGAUAGAACAUCCCACAGCUCAAAUCUGUGACAUUCGCCUGCUUCACGUGAAUCGGUGGCAUCCUGAAAACGAGACUGAGAUUGUGACGUUUGGAUUACUUAAUAAGAGGAUCUAUCCAAGAUGAGCAGAAAACUGGCUGACCUUUCCAGGCAGUUUCGAGGUUCUGAGAUUAUCUCUGCCCAGGAGGCUGUCCAAAACAGUAGGACCCAGUCGGCUGCAAAUGCCCAGGUGGUUAAAGUUGAGUCAUGGGAUGCAAGUACCCAGGUGCCUGAAAUUGAGUUACAGGACACGAGCAUCCAGGUGCCUGACGUUAUGAUCAAUGAUGCUACUACCCAGGUGCCUGAGGUUGAGAGCCAUGGAAAUCAGACUGCCUAAUCCCAUUCAUAAUGUUAUGAAGGUAUUUCUUAUCCAGGCAAAGGAUCGAGUGGGAAUAUCUGAAAAUUCCUCUUUCUGGUCUCCUACCCAGAAAAUGAGGGGAAAAUGUAUGGGUUGUCUUUUUCACUACUGUCAUGUAAAGUUUGCAAAUAAAGAUUUACAAAGCUGUA